UACGUAGGGUGCAAGCGUUAAUCGGAAUUACUGGGCGUAAAGCGUGCGCAGGCGGCUUUGCAAGACAGAUGUGAAAUCCCCGGGCUCAACCUGGGAACUGCAUUUGUGACUGCAUGGCUGGAGUGCGGCAGAGGGGGGGAUGGAAUUCCGCGUGUAGCAGUGAAAUGCGUAGAUAUGCGGAGGAACACCGAUGGCGAAGGCAAUCCCCUGGGCCUGCACUGACGCUCAUGCACGAAAGCGUGGGGAGCAAACAGG
rnacentral:rRNA from 1 species